rnacentral:lncRNA from 14 species
AACAAAGAUCACAGGUCACCUGCCCUGAGUCAUGUCAUGUCUCAUCAAUUCACUCACUACCCAGACACCAGUAACCCAUUUACCAAAACUUCCUAUGUAUCAGCUCAACUCACCUAAUGUCCAAGCAGACACAAAUUCCAUGUGAGUGCCUUCCCCACUGUUGGAAAGUGUUCCCCAGGUGCUGGUACCUUCUGGAGCCAAGGCAGCUUCUGAAACUGACUUCUCCUGACCCUGACUCAGCAGCCGCUGGGCCGUCUCUGGGCUAUGCGCAAAAGCAGCUCCGUUCUCUGCACAUCAGCGUGAAGCACUGUGCGCCUGCGCCUUGCCUGCUUCCCG